rnacentral:tRNA from 1 species
GGAUGUGGCGCAGUCCGGUUAGCGCACCUGCUUUGGGAGCAGGGGGUCACAGGUUCGAAUCCUGUUAUCC